GCCUUCUUAGUGGGUUUAUAUGAACAUUAAGAUUGUUUUUAACAUGUUUUAUAGGCCAUUUAUAUGAUUGACAGUCCGUAUUUUCCUAUCCGUACCGUUCAUAGGUCCAUACAUUAUUGUAAUGUUUAUCAACAAAGAUUUUGUGCUCGAUUUUUUCAAUUCAAUUUUAUGGAAAAACGAGCAGAUAAGCAUAUGAUUUUUUUGGG
rnacentral:lncRNA from 1 species